AGGAGACCAGCAAGCCUGGCUGCGGAGGCCAGAAGUGGCAGUGGGCCCGGCCGUGGAGCAUCCUUCUGACCAUCCAUCCAAUGGAGAAGCCAGAGAAGAGAUUCUGCUUCAGCGGACAGGUUGCAGAGCCAUGUGAUGCAGAAGCACAGAUAGAGAACAGCAAGCGAGUGGGAGACCAUGCACACACCACUAUGCCAGCAUGCAAAGAGAUUGGCUUAAUAGCUGGCUGGCUGCCCUGCCUCAAGCCGAGAGGUGAAGUUGCUGGCCUGGCUGAGGAGAGCAGGUUGGGUGACCCGUGGAAGAGGAGGAUAGAGGACUGUGUGUGUGCUAAACCUAACCAGGAGAUGAAUUUAUGGUUAAGAAGCUGGGGCCUUGAGGACUCUGCACCUAGCCAGCAAACUGAGCAGACAUACAGCUCACCUGGUCAUCAGCUUCACAGUGGUGAGAUGUAAUUA